GGAAGGGCUUGAGAUCAGACUUGGUAUUUUGCAUGUUACUCUCUCGGGGGUGGCCUCUACAGUUUAUCGGGACCAGCAUCAGUUUGGAGCGGAUGGAGAAUUGCGUUGGAAUGUGGCACGGCUUCGGUUGUGUGUUAUAGCCUCGUCGAUACUGCCAGCCUAGACUGAGGACUGCGGUUUAUACCUAGGAUGUUGGCAUAAUGAUCUUAAGUCGCCCGUCUUGAAACACUGACCAAGGAGUCUAACGUCUAUGCGAGUGUUUGGGUGUAAAACCCGUACGCGUAAUGAAAGUGAACGUAGGUGGGGGCCCGAUGGGUGCACCAUCGACCGAUCCUGAUGUCUUC
rnacentral:rRNA from 1 species